rnacentral:rRNA from 1 species
ACUCCUACGGGAGGCAGCAGUGGGGAAUCUUGCGCAAUGGGCGAAAGCCUGACGCAGCAACGCCGCGUGGGGGAUGAAGGCUCUCGGGUUGUAAACCCCUUUCAGUAGGGACGAAUCAAGACGGUACCUACAGAAGAAGCCCCGGCCAACUACGUGCCAGCAGCCGCGGUAACACGUAGGGGCAAGCGUUGUCCGGAUUUAUUGGGCGUAAAGAGCUCGUAGGCGGUUCGGUAAGUCGGGUGUGAAACCUCCAGGCUCAACCUGGAGACGCCACCCGAUACUGCUGUGACUAGAGUCCGGUAGGGGAGCGUGGAAUUCCUGGUGUAGCGGUGAAAUGCGCAGAUAUCAGGAGGAACACCAGCGGCGAAGGCGGCGCUCUGGGCCGGAACUGACGCUGAGGAGCGAAAGCGUGGGUAGCAAACAGGAUUAGAUACCCUGGUCGGCUCUGCU